rnacentral:rRNA from 1 species
UACAGGAGGGUGCAAGCGUUAAUCGGAAUUACUGGGCGUAAAGCGUGCGUAGACGGUUACAUAAGUCGGGUGUGAAAGCCCCGGGCUCAACCUGGGAAUUGCAUUCGAGACUGCGUAGCUAGGGUGCGGAAGAGGGAAGCGGAAUUUCCGGUGUAGCGGUGAAAUGCGUAGAUAUCGGAAGGAACACCAGUGGCGAAAGCGGCUUCCUGGUCCAGCACCGACGUUCAGGCACGAAAGCGUGGGGAGCAAACAGG